rnacentral:lncRNA from 1 species
UGCUAUGGUCGUUUACGACAUAACUAAACGCGUCUCCUUCGACCACGUGGCACGUUGGGUUGAGGACUUGCGAGCUCACGCCGACGACUCCGCCGUGAUUAUGCUCGUCGGAAACAAAGCCGACCUUGCCGCCGAUAAACGCGCCGUCACGACAGAAGACGCCGUCGAGUUCGCCGAGACUCAUCGGCUAUUCUUCUCGGAAGUCUCGGCUCUAAGCGGCGGGAACGUCGACGAAGCUUUUUUCCGUCUGCUAGAGGAGAUUUUCAGCCGCGUUGUUGUUGCGAGAAAAGCUCUGGAAUGUCAGAAUGGGACUACCGCGAAACUUGACGGUUCGAGAAUUGAUGUGAUCAUCUCUGGUUCUGAUCUUGAGACUGGUAAGACGAAUGAACCAGCUUCGUGCUCGUGUUGAUUUUGAGUUUUGAGUGAUGGACUCAAGUAUGGGCCAGAAACCUCGAGACAUAGUGGGACUUUUUUUUUAAUAUCAUUUUACCCAUGUCUUUGUUUAUGGGCUUUUUAUAUAUUUUGUGAAUUGGUGGUACUUAUUCGAUACCGUCUAAAAACUAUUCAUGUCAUAUUUGAUAUCUUUUUUUCUACACCAUUUAUAAUAUUCAUUUAAUAUUAUUGUAUAUGCAAAAAUGGAAGUAUUUUAUACCUUAAACAAACAUUUGAAAUUAUUGACGUUCUUUUUUUUUUGCGCAAACUGAUUUCCAUUAAAUUGAAAAGCUUAAGUUGGGUUUAAGGCCCAUAAAACAUGUUUGACUAUAGAAUCGGCUCAAAGCUCUAGAAAUGAAAGUAAACUUGAUUAUUUUAAAUGAGAACGAUAGGAAAUAGAUGUCACGAAGAAUGCCCUAGAUUUCUAACUUCAUCUCAUGUAUGUUUAUCAUGUUGAUGAGGACAUAAGAAUCAUAAAGCACAGUGAUGAAGUCGAAUCCGUGAUUGAGGGCAAAGUUUAUGGCUGUGAAUACUGCCAUAGUUUCUGCCAUAAGAGCGAGGAGACAAAAGUCUAAGUCGCUGGAUGCUGACGUACAAAUGACAAAAAUUACACGAAAACUGCAUUGCAAAAAGCUUUCUAAUUGCUGUUAUUAGCUGUAAGUCUGUAUAUAUAUAUGCAACUAAUUAAAUCUCAGUUAAAUUUCUAAAGCCACUGUCACGCGAUUUUUAAAAUGACAAUCAAACCUUUUCACUAUAAAUAUUUCACACAUAAGUACUUUACUGUUCUUUGUUUUUUUUCGUCAACAGCUGUUCUUCGUUAAUAGGUUUUCUUCAGCUGUUAUAUGUUAUUACUUAUGAGGAACUGGUAUUACAUAUAGAGAAAAUAUAGAUCGAGAACACCAAAUUAUCAUAAAUAUGGAACUUUGUGAUUAUUAAAAAGUUUUGUUAUACGAUUUUAUGUUCUUUUAAAAGUGUUUAAUGGGGUUGAUUGUAUGAUCACAAUAUAGGUUAUACAUGAUCGUGCGUUCACCCACUCUGAUAUGAUUGUUCAUGGGGAGUUUUGUAUAGAAUUAAGUGAAAUUAUUAGAAUUUACAAUAAGAUCACUAAGCAGAUAUUUUCAUAAUAUUUUUUUAUAAACCCUAUCGGCUGAUCCGGUCGGCCCCGGGAGGAACGCGAUUAGUGAAAUAUUUUCAUAAUAUUUUUCAUGACAUCAACUGUGAGUGUCACUUAGAAUCUCGAAUAUAAUCCAAAUCCGACAUAAGAUAUGAUUCUCUUAUUUUUGCAUUCAACCGAAUAAUCUGAAGUGCUCCAAUCGCAAACUCGUUUUCUCGCCCAUGACCUAAAAAUGGUCUUUUAUAUAAUGCGCAUAUGAUUAAUCCGCCACCAAAGUGCUUUGUGACCACUUAUUUACUUAUUUAUAUGCUGAUAACUCUGUGUUAUGUGUAAAGUUACUAAUUAGUUUAAUAUUUAUAAGCAAGAGUAAGAUUCUCAUGAUAAACAUUUAAAUUAGUAUCUCCAGUAUGAUUGUAUUCAAUAAGUAUUAGCUGAAUUAAGCUAGUUGAUAGUAUAUCAUAAUUUUGACAAAUUUAACGUAACAAUUUUCAUAAUCAUUUACUGCUGUUAGAAACCUGUGUUAUAAUUAUAACUUUCCUUUUUGGGUCAAAAUUACAACUUUCUAUACAUAAAAGAGAUAACUUAAAGGAAAGGCAGUUGACUUGAGAAUAUAAAGUCAAUUGGAGAGCAAUUUGCAGGAGAAAAGUCAUAAAAGUCGUACAUUCGCCACUUGUAAUUAACAAGAGAAUCAUCGGAAAAUGGCAUCUUUGAAAAUAAUAUUGGUAAUUACGUAUACAUAUUGUUUAUAAUUUUUUAAAAAUAUAUUAUUUAUAUUGUUUUUAAGCAUAUAUCGUCUUUUGUUAUUAAGCACUACGUUAAGAUAUGCAAGUUACUUUAUUAAGAUGCAUAUAUACUCACUUCUAUUACAUAUAUAUGGUAAUAUAUAUAUGUUUCUAAAACAUAGUAUUAUAUAUGCAAACAAAGUAGAAUAUUAAUCAAUUUUAAAACUAGUUACAAUUUUUAAAAAAAAAUUAGACAACUUUUUACAAAUGAAACCAAUGGGACAGGUGUAGGAAUAGUGUCUUCAAUAUGUGUAUAGAUUAGAAAAUCUUUUGAGGAUAUAGUCAUUUGAGUGUAGCAAACAUAACAUGACAUAUGCAUAUGAUGACCACAAGUGCAUAUUGGCAGCAUAUACCCGUUUGAGCACCUACAUAUAACUUUGAACUAAUAAAUAUUUAAAUGUAUAUGAAAAACCUUUCGAAUGAUAAAUGAUUAAAUUUUAAACCAAACUAUGAUCUGGCAUUGGCUAAUAGCUUCACACUUCGUUGGCACGUCUAUUUAAAGCUUCACAAAGACGCGAACUUAAAUCACAACCCGAAAACGAAAAAUAUCACAAGAAAAGAAAAAAAAACCAUUUAUUCAGUAUGUUUUCUCUGGGUAUGAGAACCGAAAUAGAAAAUCUGUGGGUCUUUGCUCUUGCAUCAAAAUGCAAUAUUUUCAUUCAAGAACAUUUUAUUUCUCUUCUCAUCGCCGUAGCCAUCACUUGGUUUACCUUCACCAUCGUAUUUUGGUCUACACCUGGUGGACCGGCUUGGGGAAGAUACUUUUUCACUCGCCGGUUUACUUCCGGCUGUAACCAAAAAAACAAGAAUCUCAUUCCCGGUCCGAGAGGGUUUCCACUCGUGGGAAGCAUGAGCCUAAGGUCAAGCCGCGUAGCUCACCAGCGCAUAGCAGCAGUGGCUGCGAUGAGAAACGCCAAGCGGCUCAUGGCGUUUAGCCUCGGUGAUACCAAGGUGAUGGUGACGUGUCAUCCUGACGUGGCAAAGGAGAUACUGAACAGCUCGGUGUUUGCAGACCGACCUGUUGACGAAACCGCUUAUGGUUUGAUGUUUAACCGAGCCAUGGGAUUCGCUCCAAAUGGUGCUUACUGGCGUACGCUACGUCGGUUAGGUUCGAACCAUCUUUUCAACCCAAAGCAAAUCAAACGCUCGGAGGAGCAGAGACGAGUGAUCGCGACUCAGAUGGUGAAUGUAUUUGCACGUAACGCUGAAACCGCGUUUGGAGUACGUGAUUUGCUAAAAACGGCGUCGUUGUCUAACAUGAUGGGUUUAGUUUUCGGGAAACAGUAUGAACUGGAGUCUAAUAACAACGUUGAGUCGGAAUGCUUGAAGGGUUUGGUUGAAGAGGGGUACGAUCUUCUCGGUACACUUAACUGGACCGACCACCUUCCUUGGUUAGGCGGUCUAGAUUUUCAACAAGUCCGGUUCAGAUGCUCUCAGCUUGUACCGAAAGUAAACCAGUUAUUGAGCCGAAUCAUUCAUGAACACCGUGCACCUACGUGCAGUUUUCUCGACGUGUUACAUUCUCUUCAUGAUUCAGAAAAAUUAUCAGAAUCCGACAUGGUCGCUGUUCUUUGGGUACGUAAACAUUAUAUAAUUCUUGUAAUAUGUAGAACAUGGACAUUAAUAUUUCAAAUUUUUGGUCCCUUUAGGAAAUGAUAUUUAGGGGGACGGACACAGUGGCCGUGCUGAUCGAGUGGGUGCUAGCGAGGAUUGUAAUGCAUCCUAAAGUUCAGUCAACGGUCCACGAUGAGCUUGACCGAGUCGUUGGCAGAUCCAAAGCCGUUGAUGAGUCUGACCUCCCAUCUCUCACGUAUCUAACGGCUAUGAUCAAAGAAGUGUUGAGGCUGCAUCCACCAGGCCCACUUCUCUCUUGGGCUCGUCUCUCCAUAACGGACACCACCGUAGACGGAUAUCACGUGCCGGCUGGGACCACCGCGAUGGUCAACAUGUGGGCUAUAGCACGUGAUCCACACGUGUGGGAGAAUCCUUUGGAGUUUAAGCCUGAGAGGUUCGUGGCAAAAGAGGGUGAAGCUGAGUUCUCUGUUCUCGGGUCGGAUAUGAGGUUGGCACCCUUCGGGUCGGGUAAGAGAGUUUGCCCGGGAAAGAAUUUGGGGCUUGCGACGGUUUCGUUUUGGGUUGCAACGCUCUUGCAUGAGUUUGAGUGGCUUUCUAGUGUCAACGCUAACCCUCCUGAUCUUUCAGAUGUUUUGAGGCUGUCGUGCGAGAUGGCUUGUCCUCUUGUCGUUAACUUACGCUCAAGGCGUAAGAUAGCAUAAGCUUCGGUUUAGUCAAUGCACGAAUGCUUCAAAGUUAUUGGCAAAUUAAAAAAACACGUAUUCUAAUAAAACCUGGAAAACUGAUAUGUAUGCAAAGUCCAAAGUGCGAUGUAUAUUCGCCCAUCUUUUAUUGAUUAAGGGAACAUAUUAAUGUAUUUGUAUUAUAUGAAAUAAAUUUAAUAUAUGUUUCAUGCGUACGGUUUGAUGGUGAGUAAUGUUGUUAAUUUUAUUAACCAACGCAGUAGUACGGUAGUCUCGGCUCUAAAAAAACUUAAACACGUUUCAGUUUUACGUGGGCCAUUUGGUUAUUUGAACUUAAACUCAUGUGUUUGUUUCGUUAUGAACUAGUGAGAAAUUCCUUGUAAAAAUUUGUUGGCGUGAGUCGCAUGUUUCGGCUAACCUUCGGUAUGCAAUGCUAAAUCUACAGAAAAUACAAUUUGUACAUUAACUAGUGGUCGCUAUUUAAUUUAACUUAACUAACUUUUCUUAGAUAUAAGAGUUCUAAGAUAUUGGUAAUAUAUAACUAAUUAAAGUUCACUUAUCUUCAAAUGAAUUCAACGAUCAUCCUAGGAAUUAUUCCACUUAACUAAAAUAAAUAACUCUAUACUUCGCGUGUUGAACGAUUAACUGAAUUAUCUUCUCCAGCUUUAAUUAUAUCCUACUCCCAAUUGUAUAAAAUAAUAUGCUUAAUUUGCUACGAAGUUUCUUAGAAGAGCUAGGUCAGUCAACGAUUUUACUAAUGAAACAAGCAUUUGGCUGAAAUUGUGUAUAAUAGGUGUCGUCGUCGAGUGUUCGACUCAGCUAGUGUUUCUGGUUGUUCCAUUACGUGAUCUCAUUAACGCUUGUGUAAUGGACUUAUCACUUCUGAACUUCUAGCAUUUUUAUUUUGUUGUUGACCAACGCAUUAGUCCUCUUAUAUCAGUUUGUUUAUUUAACAUUCGGCAAAUACAUAUCUGACUUCCACUUUUGUUGGUGAAAACAACUUAAACACAUAUCUGACUGCUUACAAACUGUUAAGGUGAUAAAAGAAGAUAAAAAGAUUAGCCGAUUUGACAAUCUGAGAUAGAUGAUUUCUUAUAUUUUUGUUUUACUUUUAUAGAAUUUUUUCCUAUUUCUUUCAGUGCUCAACUCCUUGCUAAAAGAAUCGCAUUUUCUGGAUAAAUGUUAUUGAGUAUGAAUUAAGUCAUGAGGCUUGCCUACUUGAAUUAACGUAUAAUAUAUGGAAUUAUUUGCCAUUAAAAAAUAUUGACACUGAGUCAUUGGCGUUAAGUGGAUAAUCAUGAAUAAUGCAGUUAAUAAAUUUCUUUUACAUGCUACCACAAAGUAUAUACGGCAAUACCGAAUUACAAACUUUGUGUAAAACAACUGUUGGUCAAGACCUCUGUUUACCAGAUGAAAUCGAAAACCCAGAUUCACACAAAACUCUCGGCUCUCUUUUUGGGGGUGGGGAGGAAGAAGGAGAAAGGGGUCUCUUCAGAUUUGUGGUCUGGUUUGGUUUAAUCUGGAGGAGACGACUGCUUUUUCGCAUCUACUGUUGAAUCAUUUUUAAUUAAUUAAUUGUAUCAUUUGGAUCUUUUCAGGAGCUCUCGUUAUAAGAGGCCCUGGUUGAUUUUUAGCCCAUUGUUUUCACAUCUUUAUCUUGUCCUCUUUAUUGGGCCCUGCAGAUUUUUGUUGUUAUAUUCGAAAGAUUGAUGGUUUUUUGGUCCAGAAAUAUUGAUGUUUUAGAAUUUUAAUUGAUGUGUUUUACUUUAAAACUAAAACAUAUACUAUUUAAAUAUAAAAAUAUGAUUAUCUGAAAUUUAUUAGAAAACAUAUAAAAAUUUAAACUAAAAUAAGAGAAAUUUCCUAGGAUAGUCUUUUAAAAAACAAAUUGUCACAAAAAUAGCCCUGAAAAUGACCAAAAUAAGUUUUACCCUAGAGUUAACCAAUUUAAACUUAGGGUUUAGAGUUAAAUAGUGAAGUUUUGGGGAUAUAAUUUCAAAUUAAAAUUAAAAUAAAAAUAAAAAAUAAAUGUUAAAAUUUUCAAAAUAAAAAAAGGACUAUUUUGAUUUUUUUUUUUUUUUUGAAGGUUAUUUUUGUGACAAAAACUUAAAAAUUGUUAUUUACAAAAACUUAAAAAUGGUUAUUUGAGAGAAUUGCCUUAAAAUAAAACUAGCAAGUAAAGAUAAAAAUAAAAAUUAAUUUUUUUGUGUGAAUAAUCUUAAUUUACAUAUUUAAUUUUUCAAUUUUGGUGACAUUUACAACGAAAUAAAACAGAUAUUUAUUCAUUUAGGAUGUUGUCUUGUUCGAAAAAACAAUCCAACCGAUUAAUUUUUUUGUCUUAUACAAUCAAUAAAUUUAAUUUCAAGCAACAAGAAUGAAAAGAAAGAAAGGGACCAAAAAAAGCAAUAAAUUCAUACAUGAGGGAGGAGUAGAGAACAACCAACAAUUGAUAGAUCAUAAGAGCUUUUUAGUUGGUCUCUCCAGACAAAAUGUGGGUUUCAUAUUGAAUCAAUCAAUUGUUUUAGCAAAAUAAUAAUACUAGUAAAGAUCUUUUUCUUUAAUUAUGUCGGUUCAUGCUCACAGCUAUAUUAACAUUGUAUAUUCAUUUAAAGCUAUAUUAAGAGUAUUAAAAGAACGAACAGAGAGCAUCGUUGCUGUCUUCACAAAACAAGAUCGGCUCAAACCGUUUUUCUUCCCACUUUCUCUGUUUCACUGACUCUCCACUUACUCAAACAGAAAGGUAGUCAAAACUUUACUGAGUUUUUCCUCUUCAUCGACCCAGUUCCACCUCAACAAUGAACGAAGAGAUGAGCGGAGAGACGCCGGAGAAUAAACAUGUAAGUAGACCAACAUUGCCGGAAAAGAUCGACUACGUGUUCAAGGUGGUAGUGAUUGGUGACUCUGCGGUCGGAAAAACGCAGCUCCUUUCACGUUUUACACAGAACGAGUUCUGUUACGACUCAAAGUCCACCAUUGGUGUCGAGUUUCAGACACGUACGAUCACUCAUCAAGGCAAGCUCGUUAAAGCUCAGAUCUGGGAUACCGCCGGUCAAGAAAGGUAAAUGUCUAUCUACAUCUAUACACACAUUUAACUAUUCUUACAAAGCUGAAUCUCAGGUUGGCUUUCAAAUUAAAUUGUUUACAUAUUUUAAAGUAUAGUUUAUUUUUCUUGGAUCACGACAUUUAGAUAUGAUUUGAUUUGAUUUCCGAUCUACUUAUAAUCAUUGAUUAUACGUUUUUUUUUUUAAACUAUUGGUUUUCUAACUAUUUUGUUAUUAGAACUAAUCAAUGAGUUGUUUUACUGCGUUUUCGGAGAUUAGAUACAGAGCGGUGACAAGCGCGUAUUACAGAGGCGCGUUAGGUGCUAUGGUCGUUUACGACAUAACUAAACGCGUCUCCUUCGACCACGUGGCACGUUGGGUUGAGGACUUGCGAGCUCACGCCGACGACUCCGCCGUGAUUAUGCUCGUCGGAAACAAAGCCGACCUUGCCGCCGAUAAACGCGCCGUCACGACAGAAGACGCCGUCGAGUUCGCCGAGACUCAUCGGCUAUUCUUCUCGGAAGUCUCGGCUCUAAGCGGCGGGAACGUCGACGAAGCUUUUUUCCGUCU